rnacentral:lncRNA from 1 species
AAAACCAGACCUGAGUCCUUUAAAACUCACAAUCCUAGCCAAUGAAUUGAAAGAAUAUAGAAUCAACCACAAUGAGUUUCAGUGUAUGAAGGAGUACUUGGAGGCUGUCUCUGUUCAGGAGCUCUGGGAAUUGGUUCUCAAACGCUGGAUUGAAGACUACAGUUGGACGUUUCAACCCAAAAGGGCAAAUUCAGACACUGUGGCUUCAGGAGAAGUUUGCAUUUCUGUAAAGAAAAUUGACUUCAAAUUUACUGCGCCCUGCUGCACCUACAAGGAGGUGGAAACUAGUUCUCUGUGCCCUUAGAAGAGUCACUCAGGCAAAGUGGCCUGUGGCUGUGUUGCCCUCCAUCUCCAGGACUGGACAGCUGGGUGGCCGACGCUCUGUGCUUACUGUGCCUGUCGCAUGGUGGCUUGGCUGAGGAUGAGCUACUCCAGCUUUUGGACAUGCUGGGCUACAGGAAUCAUUACAAAGUGACCGCCUUGCACUGGGCUGCCUUCCGCAACGCCACCAAACAGUGGGUCCAGGAGAAGCCCAAUGGCCUCCUGUAUUUCUGGCACCAGUCCCUGUGAAGUGCAGUGGAGCACAAGCUUCUUGGUA